rnacentral:tRNA from 3 species
GCGCCCUUAGCUCAGCUGGAUAGAGCAACGGCCUUCUAAGCCGUAGGUCGCAGGUUCGAGUCCUGCAGGGCGUA